CAUACCCCCAAGAUAAAAGUCAGUUCCCCAGCGUCUGUUGUAGAUAGAAGUCUGCAAGCAGUGCUAUAAAAGAAAAUGGAAAAUUAUACAUCAUCGGACAGUGACUCCGAAUCUUUGAACAAGGUUUUGGAUUUUACCCACCAGCUAUUAGAAAUGGAAACUCUCGAAGACAACCUGGAAGUAUUUGUAAAUGACGAAAAAAGGACUGCAGAAGAAAUCGAAACUAUAAUUUUAAAUCACAAUCAUCUCGAAACGCUACCGUUCAAUUUAUUUAAGUUCGUUAAUUUAAAAACGUUGGACGUAAGUUAUAGUGGACUUAGCGUACUGCCGGACAUCUUCAAGCACACAUCCAUCACGACCUUCGUCGCGAAAAAUAAUCAUCUUUCAAACAAAUCGCUGCCGAAAACGUUCACAAUAAACGCCAAAGUGAGAGAAGUGAAUCUCAGUGGAAACGCGUUUAGUGCAUUUCCGGAACAGCUUCUCGAUUUUCCCAACCUAAAGUAUUUAUAUUUGGGCUCGAACCAAAUAACGGCGAUACCCAGAAAAAUAAAAAAAUUGAAAAGUUUGAACGUUCUGUGCAUGGGAGGAAAUUGGUUAGUGGACGUACCGGAAACGGUGGGCGAAUUAGUUAAUCUUCAAGCUCUAGUUCUUUGCGACAAUCGAAUAGACACGUUACCACCAAGUAUCGCAAGAUUAAAACACCUAAAGUCUCUUCUCUUGCAUAAAAAUUUGCUGAAGGCGUUACCGCCUGAAAUUGUCGGACUUAAAAAUCUGAACGAGUUAAGUUUGCGAGACAAUCCGUUGGUAGUGCGGUUUGUCAGUGACAUGAUGCAUGACCCAGGAAGUUUACUAGAACUAGCUGGCCGUACUAUCAAAAUUUAUGGGAUUGAGGUCAAACCUGGGGAUAUUCCUCAAACGUUAAUAUCUUAUCUAGAACACGCUCAUCGAUGCGUUAAUCCUCAAUGUAAAGGUAACGUUAAUUUUUCUUCUUUUCCUUUUUAGCGCAAUGAGAUGUGCGCCAAGUACCGUCCUUUUUGUUUAAAACGGUAAUUGACGUCACUAGAUUUGGUUAAAUCGUUUUCUAUUUUUGUCCAAAUACGAUUGGAUUGGUCUAGCAAACCCGUGGCACAUAAAAGAAAAUUCCCGCAUGGACAUGGGAAUAGAUGCUAAAUGGCGUAUUUUUCGACAAUCGUGUAGAACACAUAAAAUUCGUGGAUUUCUGUGGAAAAUAUCGCAUUCCGUUAUUGCAGUACUUA